GGGAAGGAUGAGAAGCUUCGACUAAGGUUCGACUCGAGCGAAGCGAGAGAACGUUGCCGCAGGCAAUGGCCCGAAGGCGAGGCGCUUUAGCGCCGAGUAAUCCUUCCCCCACCACUG
rnacentral:sRNA from 1 species